rnacentral:tRNA from 1 species
ACGGACUUAAAAUCCGUCGACUUAAAAAAGUCGUGAGGGUUCAAGUCC